UACGUAGGCAGCAAGCGUUGUUCGGAGUUACUGGGCGUAAAGGGUGCGUAGGCGGCUUCUUAAGUUUGGUGUGAAAUCUCCCGGCUCAACUGGGGAGGGUCACGCGAUACUGAUCGACUCGAAGGCAGGAGAGGGUAGUGGAAUUCCCGGUGUAGUGGUGAAAUGCGUAGAUAUCUGGAGGAACACCGGUGGCGAAGGCGGCAUCCUGGACCGGCAUUGACGCUGAGGCGCGAAAGCCAGGGGAGCAAACGGG
rnacentral:rRNA from 1 species